UACGGAGGGGGCUAGCGUUGUUCGGAAUUACUGGGCGUCAAGCGCACGUAGGCGGUUGAUCAAGUUAGGCGUGAAAGCCCCAGGCUCAACCUGGGAACUGCGCUUAAUACUGAUUAGCUUGAGUCCGGGAGAGGGUGGUGGAAUUCCCAGUGUAGAGGUGAAAUUCGUAGAUAUUGGGAGGAACACCAGUGGCGAAGGCGGCCACCUGGACCGGUACUGACGCUGAGGUGCGAAAGCGUGGGGAGCAAACAGG
rnacentral:rRNA from 1 species